ensembl:lncRNA
GCAUAUUCUGCAGUGUGAAAUGGUAUCAGUAGGGAAGUGCUGUUUUCUCUGGUCUGUGUGGAUGCUUCUAUUAUUUCCCUCAGAAGAAAACAUUUACUGUGUUACUACCGCUUCAUAAAACAAUCCUGGAUUAAAGCAUCAUGUGAAAGCCACAUCAAAUUUAUUUGGUUUCAAGAAAAAGAGGAAAUAGCAUUUGAGCUGUUAAAUCUUCAAAUAAGUAAUUCUGGCAUUUACACCAUAACUGUGGAAGAGCAUGCACCACCUCCUUCAAGAUGUGUGGAGCAGAAGAGGAUAUUCAUUCAUG